rnacentral:rRNA from 1 species
AAAUUGAAGAGUUUGAUCAUGGCUCAGAUUGAACGCUGGCGGCAGGCCUAACACAUGCAAGUCGAACGGUAACAGGAAGCAGCUUGCUGCUUCGCUGACGAGUGGCGGACGGGUGAGUAAUGUCUGGGAAACUGCCUGAUGGAGGGGGAUAACUACUGGAAACGGUGGCUAAUACCGCAUAACGUCGCAAGACCAAAGAGGGGGACCUUCGGGCCUCUUGCCAUCAGAUGUGCCCAGAUGGGAUUAGCUUGUUGGUGAGGUAACGGCUCACCAAGGCGACGAUCCCUAGCUGGUCUGAGAGGAUGACCAGCCACACUGGAACUGAGACACGGUCCAGACUCCUACGGGAGGCAGCAGUGGGGAAUAUUGCACAAUGGGCGCAAGCCUGAUGCAGCCAUGCCGCGUGUAUGAAGAAGGCCUUCGGGUUGUAAAGUACUUUCAGCGGGGAGGAAGGUGUUGUGGUUAAUAACCACAGCAAUUGACGUUACCCGCAGAAGAAGCACCGGCUAACUCCGUGCCAGCAGCCGCGGUAAUACGGAGGGUGCAAGCGUUAAUCGGAAUUACUGGGCGUAAAGCGCACGCAGGCGGUCUGUCAAGUCGGAUGUGAAAUCCCCGGGCUCAACCUGGGAACUGCAUUCGAAACUGGCAGGCUUGAGUCUUGUAGAGGGGGGUAGAAUUCCAGGUGUAGCGGUGAAAUGCGUAGAGAUCUGGAGGAAUACCGGUGGCGAAGGCGGCCCCCUGGACAAAGACUGACGCUCAGGUGCGAAAGCGUGGGGAGCAAACAGGAUUAGAUACCCUGGUAGUCCACGCCGUAAACGAUGUCUACUUGGAGGUUGUGCCCUUGAGGCGUGGCUUCCGGAGCUAACGCGUUAAGUAGACCGCCUGGGGAGUACGGCCGCAAGGUUAAAACUCAAAUGAAUUGACGGGGGCCCGCACAAGCGGUGGAGCAUGUGGUUUAAUUCGAUGCAACGCGAAGAACCUUACCUGGUCUUGACAUCCACAGAAGAAUCCAGAGAUGGAUUUGUGCCUUCGGGAACUGUGAGACAGGUGCUGCAUGGCUGUCGUCAGCUCGUGUUGUGAAAUGUUGGGUUAAGUCCCGCAACGAGCGCAACCCUUAUCCUUUGUUGCCAGCGGUUAGGCCGGGAACUCAAAGGAGACUGCCAGUGAUAAACUGGAGGAAGGUGGGGAUGACGUCAAGUCAUCAUGGCCCUUACGACCAGGGCUACACACGUGCUACAAUGGCGCAUACAAAGAGAAGCGACCUCGCGAGAGCAAGCGGAUCUCAUAAAGUGCGUCGUAGUCCGGAUUGGAGUCUGCAACUCGACUCCAUGAAGUCGGAAUCGCUAGUAAUCGUGGAUCAGAAUGCCACGGUGAAUACGUUCCCGGGCCUUGUACACACCGCCCGUCACACCAUGGGAGUGGGUUGCAAAAGAAGUAGGUAGCUUAACCUUCGGGAGGGCGCUUACCACUUUGUGAUUCAUGACUGGGGUGAAGUCGUAACAAGGUAACCGUAGGGGAACCUGCGGUUGGAUCACCUCCUUACCUUAAAGAA